AGCAAGCCCAUGUCAAAACUGCUGUGCUCGACCGGAGAGUUGAAUCAGAACUUUACCCUUUGUACCAAAAAGUGCAUAAGGGUGGACGUUACUUAACCAUCGUUUCAAUCCUGGUGACAUGAAGUCAUUGCUAACCAGGGCCGGUCACUGCAACCAAAACAAGACUUCAUGGGUGCAUAUCAGAUGCCCGUCGCAGGUGUGUCAGCUUGUGACCAACUGGGAAAGCAGAUGCAGCUCGCCUCAAAGAAAUGCAUCAUCGACAUGCACGAGCUGCUUCAAAGACUGAGACUGGAGGACAAAUAAACGAGCCUGCGGGUGGA
rnacentral:lncRNA from 1 species